rnacentral:lncRNA from 1 species
UUCCUUCAGCCUGAAGUUGGAAUGUAACCACGGGUCAGAAACUGAAAAUUCCACUUGCAUUAAAAUUACACUUUGUCAUUAGAAAUGUUUAUAUUUCAUUAAAAAAAAAAUCUUUCAUGUUUCUCUAUUCUUUAGAGAAGAAAUAACUAUUGUAUUUGGUUUGGAAUGGAUGAACAUAAUCUCAAAUCUUUGUUUGCAUCACUGUGCAGCAUACCAUUUUCUCAAAUGAAAGCUCACAGUAUUUGCAGAGCAGAUGGCAGAAGUGUGUGUGAUUACCUCACUGCUUCUUUGUACUGAGCAGAGAUGGAGGCGAAUUAGGGCCCAUCAGCAGGAGGGGUGUUUGUUUUCUUCCCCAGCAAACCAUCAAAGAAUCCCGGAGCACGUCUUAACUAUUGAGACUGAAAAUUGGGUGAAUUUUGUCUGCCUGAUUCUAGUAAAGACUUGUGUAUUACUUAUAGGGAAAUUCUUUCAGAAAAGUUGCUGGAAACGGUGAGCGCCGUGUAGGAGAUAAUACAGUAACCAAUCUUAGGCCUUUCACGCACAUGGAAGCUUUAACUGAGUAGAACUGUGAGAAAAAAGCUGUGUUGACCAAAGCCCAGGUACAGAUGAAAUUAUACAAGCAAAAAAAAACCCAUUUGCCAAUACUUUCUUUGUUUCCUGUUGAGACAUCUGUAUGAUGCUUUUGCCAAUACAGCCACUUUCCACGCCAAAUUCCCAGCUUGUGCAGCUCUACCUGCAGCCAAACAUUCGGAACGCAAACAAGGCUAAAGAUGGCUAAGUCAGUAUUAUUUCACAUCUUGGAGCAUGAAAAUUUCAGGUUCCUUACCAUUCCUGUUCUGGGGGGGAAGCUGUACUGCAGGAGUUAGCUCCUGAUUCUGCAGUUUUGUGUUGGGCCUGUGACAUUAAGGCACAGCACCGAUUUCUGUCAGGUCACACAGCCUGAAGCUGAGCGAAGCAACAGUGAGCAUGAAGAAAGGAUGCAUCCAAAGCCACCUCUGUACCAGCAGGAGUCAUACGCAGAGCUAGCUGCUGUGCAAAGCUCAGCAAAGCCACAUUUGGUGUAUGUGAUAUCCGGCUCUGUGCUCCUUGUGAUCCAAGGCCUGGACCCCUGCAGAGGGAUUUCUGGCACAGGAGGUGACAUAAAAUGGUGCCGGCAGCCAUUCUUUGUGUCUACCAAAGGUUAUGGGCAGCUCGACAUUUUCCAGCGUUAAAUGCCAGAAAUCUGUUCACUGGAAAAAUUUAGGCAGUGCUAAUUAAAAAGUGAUAGCUUAAUGCUUCCCAAGACCCUGUUUUGAAUUGUGGAGGUAUUAUCUGGCCUGUAGCAACAGCUCUAUCGUCUGUCACAGUUCACUGAGACAGUCAUUUCCAGUGGAAACACAUUGGUUUAGACAAAACUUUGCCAGAAAUGCAAUUUAAAGGGAGAGACGGGGAGGUGAAAAUAAACAACAACUCAGUGGUAAUUGCUGCUCUUUUAGGAAGCUGAGCACCAGUUCAGGUCUGUAGUGGGACUUGCGCAGAGCAGGGAGGUGCGCCUGCAGCCACGCAUUCUGACCUUACUCCUUCCUACUGGGCUCUUUGUGGUUUUAGGAUGGUUCAUACUUCUCCCUCCAGUUGGUUUGGUUUGUGAGAUUUAUUGGCAAGUUCCUGAUAAGCUACAGGAGUAUUUUUAGUCUUUAGUGACUACUGUGUGCUGCCGUUGCACAGAGACAGCGUCAUUCGCAUGCUUUAUUAGACAUUUGCCUAUUCUCCAGCACUUCUGUGCUGUAAUGGAUAAUUUGGCGAGAUGCAUAACAAAAUUUGUUAGCUGCUUUUUUUGUGUGUGUGUGUGUCAAGCUGGAAGCUCCUGUUUGACAUCCAUUUCUGUGGAAUUAGCCAAGUGGGGCAGCAAACAGAUUUGGUAUUUCUGCUCAUUGUAGCAUGGAAGGCAAAGGUUAUCACCACCACAGGACACAAGGAGGGGCGGGCACUCCUCUGGGCUGUCUCUGGAGCUGUGCUGAUGGUGUCUGGUGAAGCAGAUCUGCUGCAAAUUACAGCAUGUGGUUAUGCAUCAAUUUACGCUCCCGCCUGUUGCCAACAACGUGCUGUGCAUGAAUGGAGCUAACUUGGUAAAUAUGCUCUCUAGUAACUGAAAAUAACCAAGUGCUGUUGAAAGGAAUAAUUAAUCAAUGUUUGCAAAGCAUUUAGAAACUGAAAACCACGGUAUUAGUGCUAAGUGUUCAGGGCUUUAGCUUUCCCAUCAGAAGUCUCAGUUUUUCUCUUUGUUAGUCUUUAACCAAACAAAACAUUAAGAGUGCAAAGUCUUUUUGUCUAAUGUCCCCAGUCAGGUGGUUUUGUGCUCGGCAGUUGUUAAAAUGCAGUAAGUAGACCAGAAGAAACUAUAAAUGGGGUGAAUCAGCUCAUUUCUACUGAUGCUGGCAGAAAUGAGUUGAGUUAUGUUAGCUGGAGAUCAACAGCAGGCUCUGUAACACAAUUUCCUCCACUUGCCUAUUGGGCUCAGCCAGCCAGAACCAGUAACUGGCUUAUUCCCUGCAGCUCCCACCUCUCUGAACCCAGGUGCCAGGGAUGGAUACAACACUGUGUUAGGGCACAGGCUUCCCUGCACAGCGAGGCAGACAAAUUGUAUGGCUCAGAGCUGCUAUCUGAGGCAGCCAGCAUGCUCGAUGAACAGCCCAGUGAUACCCGUGAGCAGAAAUCCCAUUUAUCAGGUGUGCUGUGCAGAGAGGUGGCACUGAUGUCUGACCCCUGGCUCGAGAACUCAGGGGAACAAGGAAGCAUCUGUGUCUUUCCUUCCAAAGUGCCUUGGCUCCCUCACAAACAAGUCUUCAUGAAGCUGCAGUCCCCAGCAGAAUGGUGGUUUUACCUGGGAAGCCAAAAGGGCUGUAAGCCACUCAGCAGGAACCAUUUGGGGGUGAGGUGAGGGAUGAGGUUAUGCACUUAGACGGCCCCAGCCAGUCCCCCAUGCCCCUAUCUCUGUGUGCGCAACUGCUCCCUUCUCUGUUCUGAAGGCUAAUCUGUACCUCCAGACGUUUACAGUCAAUAUUCUUAUCUGCUCAGUGUGGUGUUAAUCUGUAUUUCAGAGAGGGAUGAGUGGGAAGACAGUCUUGUUGAAAACAGGGCACUGUGCAGAAGGCAGUUUAAGGCUAAUUGGCUGGAAAAAGCAUUGCACUGGUCCUUCAGAGCAUCUCUUUUUAGGGUUAUUGUAUGACUUUCCAACACAAGCUCCCUUUCUCCAGCCAGGAACUUUGUCAGACUAAGUCUGAUGAUGUUGAGCAUCUGUUCCACGCUCAGGACUAUCCAGCAGCUCACGCUGAGCUUCCAGAUUAAUGUAAAUCCAGAUGAUGUGCCCACUUCAGCUGUGCAGUGCACGAGCACUGUGCCCAAGUAUACAUCACAUGAUGUCCCAGAACUGUUCCUAUGAAUGUGUUGAUGUAAAAAUAACUGAUUAUUCAGAUGCUAGUGGAAUUUUCAAGACAAACAGGGAGGCCCAUGUGCAUUUUAAGUACUUCCCAAGUAAAACAGCAGUUCAGCACAGGUAGGGAAGGAAAAAGGAUUACAUAUUUAGAUUAAGGUAUCUCAAUGUAUUUUUUGGAUCUUGCCUUUUUUGGAUCUGCUCAGUGCUGGUCUGACUCAUCUCUUAGGUGUUUCUUCUCACAGGAGAUCAGUGACUUUGCUGCUGCUGGAUUGACUGGCAGAGUAAGGACGGUUACCUGCCAAGUAAAUCCAGUUAUUCAGCCCUUGCUGGUCCCAAAUAGAGCUCUGUGGCCUAUAAAGGGUCACAUUAAUUAAAAUAAGCCAUCAGAACAGCAGACGUGCUGGGUAUUCACCUCCGCACCAGCCCAGGGCAGAGCAUGUUCAGCUCACUUCAGCAGCAGUGCCACAAAAUCUCUUCAUGACGUUUUUGACAGAGCUAAGUAUUACCAAGAUUUUUUAAUAGUUACCUUUGUAAUUAGCCAUUUUAAAUUCAUUUACUGAAAAUGAGAGGGGCUGGGAUCCUCACGUGUCUUCCUUGCUCCUAUCUUUGCUCGAGUUCACCAUAGAGAGCUUAGUGCAAAAUCCAUAAAGAACCAAAAAAGUGCAUAUUUGAAAGAGCAAUUCAAGCAUAUGUAGAAUGUUCCUGGCUACAUGUAAUUGCAGGCAAGUACUGACAUUUCUGCUGUUCUGGACAAAUGUAUUUAUUUAUUACUUUAUUAACCCACCUCUUCUCUUCAGCAUGUGUUUCUUCUUCUCUCAUUUCCUAAUAUUCCCUGAGUAUUAUUUACCUGAUUUGCAUGACAUACAUGACAAUUGCUUGGGUAGAUCAAACCAAUGACACCACAGUGUUACAAAGAACUAGACGGGGUGUUGUAGUGCUUUUUGGAAGGGCAGAACUUUCCUUUCUUACUGGUAGUACUUCCUCAAGUCAGCAGUGCUAUGAGAACUGUACUCCUCAAUUCCACAGCCAACACUGAUAUUCUGAGACAAACAUUCACCAUUCUUUGCUGCUCUGAGUAUUCUCUCACCCCAGAGAGGAAUGAUUUUAUUAAUUUAAACAGGAAGAAAUAUGUACAAAAAUGACCCAAAGUCUGAUAUAUACCUGUUGGUAUUGACUAAAUCCUUAUCCUGUGAGGGCAAUGUCAAGGCACCUAUUGAUUGUUCCUGAGUAAAUAUCUUGUUGAAGUGGCACUGUCUGUGAAAUUGAAUUACAUAAAUUUUAAUGCCUACAAUAAAAGUUCAUCAGAACUAGCACAGAAACUUCUCUACUUAACUGGAGGUUGACUCAGUUUAUGAAAUGGAGCGAUUUAUCUCCCAAUGGAUCAUGAUACAGGUAUCCAAGUGAACCAUCAGUAAUAAAUAUGGUAUUUCCUCUGUAGUGAUCUGAACAGUGAAUAAAGACUUAAUUUGCAAGUAUUUUCAGAAACUGGGGGAAAACACAGCGAGUUCCCAAGGGUGCAAGUGGACUCGUUUGUAUUUAUAAGUAAGUCAACAUCAAGCUGAUGUGAUUAAACAGUUACUCUGUCAGUGACUUAGCCCUGUUCUUUUCUCCAUCUGGUAGGCAGGCAGGCAGAUUAAAUUUAUGCUGUGUGUUUAUUUUCUUGAAAUAAAAUGAGUUUUGUUUAUAUUUCGAGGCAGUAUGAUGUGGUAACAAAUGUACCAAAUAUAUUAACUUCAAAAAAAAAAGGAAAAAGAAAAGAGGAUUUAGACAAAAAAGAAGACGUGCCUCCCAAGGCACCAUACUUUAUUUAAAGGAAAUGGAAACACACCAUUUUUUUUUUAAAUGCUCAUUUACAGACUUUAAAGAAAAUUAAAUUUAUAGUUUAGCCUCUGAGUUCUGGAACUACCAGUUGUUUCCUGAAAGUGACUUUGUAAUGAGUUUUGGGAAAUCAUUUUAGUAUUGACUUGGGCUGUAAUGGUUGGCUGUUGCUUUUUUGAAUAAGAUUAAUUAAAUUACUCUGAACGAGCUCCAAGUCCAUGCCCUUCUCUGAGGCCAAUUGUGAAUAUGACCAUAAUAAACUCUUAAAAAGUAUUUCAGAAAGUAAAUAAUCUCCAAACCUGGAAGUAUGUCAUUGUGCUCUGGUAAGAAUAACAAACAGCAUUUGCUUCCUUGUUUCAACAUACAUCACUUUGCUUUCGUACCUUGCACUUUCCUCAGUUGUAAGAAGUGAGGGUUAUUUUUGUUUGGUUAAUUUUCUGUACAACAGCAGGAGAUAAUUUUGACUGCAUCUUAAAGAAAGAACCAGAUAAGAAGUAAGUGCAUAGGCACAAAUAAGAGCUGGCAGUUGUACUUCUGAUUUCAACUCUGAAAUGUAGGACUCCUCUUAGUUAUUCAUACUUCGGUAAGCUCAAAUAAAAUACGGACCACAUUAUAUCAGUCUCAAUAAAAACAUACGGAAGUGAAUGCUCUUAAUUUAUAGAAGCUUUGAAAAUCAAUGCCAAAUAUGCAAAGAUUCCAUAAACAGAGAGGUGAAAGGACUUAUCCAAAGCUCCUUUAUGUGCCUGGGCUGAUGACAGUUGACACCAGGUCUUCAGAGCGCCAUGCCAGCGUCCGGUCCAGCGAACACUGCUGCUGCUUGGUAAGCUGGACUGAGAUAUCUCCCCAGAUGCUGCUCUGAUUUUCCACAGAAAUGGUAAGUACUUGGAAAAAUAAGAUAAAAAAAAAGUAAAACAUACCCCAAGGGAAGCCACCAAAAAAUGAUGGGUGUAUGUCUCCCAUAGAACCAUGGGCAAGGUAGACAACAAGAACUGGUGAAAGAAUAGAAGCAAAAGGAAAGAAAACAGUAGAAGUUUGUGGAGUAAUUUAGUAUGAGCAGCUGCACAAAGUAUCUUAACAGCGACAGACCAUCUGCAGUCCCAGUACAGAGAAAGAUCAACAGCUUGUGUGGUAUGAGCUUCCAAAGGAGAGUCUGCUGCACUUCUCAAAUCUCCUGUGAGUUCUCUGAGAUGGAGUAGGUGAGCUGGGAGCACAGCACUCCUGAGAAAAUUUGGUUCUGUAAGGAUGGAGGUUGCUAGGGAGCAAAGCCCUCUUAUGCCAUAAGGAAGGAUUUCUGUUUCCUUGGCAUUACUUUCCUUGCUAGGAAGUCCUGCUCUCAUUCUUUAGGCCAAAAGAUCUGGGCAAGGCUGGUUUGAUGGGCAGAUGAGGGUGGCUGGCAAAGGCUGUGAAUUUUUCUUCUUCCUUGUUCUUAAGUGUCCUUAACCCGUGCUGACAAGAGUAAAAUAGAGACUUGGAGGUCUUAAAUAAACAGGAAUCUUGCAGGGUACAGGUUAAACUAACACUGACAGAGCCAGUAGCUGCAACAAUUUGUAAUUAUAUCCAUGAUCCCAGUGCUCUCUUUCUCAAGGCAAAAAGAUUUGGGUACCAACUUAUGGAGUGAAAUGUCAGUGUUCCCUGCAUUCCCUGCUCCACUGGUGUUCCUCUUUAGGUCUUUAGAAAGAGAACUACUUUGCUCCUAAAACUGAUUAAAGCAUGAAGGAUGAUCUGGUUGAGUGAAUGUGGUAAGAAAUGGCAACCUGUGUCAAAGUUUUUUUGCUCUUAUUUAGUUUAUAUAUUUGUGAUGUUUUUCUACUUUUGGUAGAGAUAAAAGAUUUAUAUUUCAAUGCCUCAAAUUUGAGCUCUAAUACUAUUUUUUACCUUCUACUCUUCUUUUUUCUCUUUAAUUUCUGGUAUUGUUGAGCUUUGGAAAAGAAGAAAUGUUCUCCUGGUAUAUGUACUGGUUUACUUUGUAUUAAUUUGAUUACAUUACUGAUAAACUGAAUUUACUGCUAGUCCACAAACAUGGUGGAUAUGAAUGCUUGCUUCUCACUGGUUUUCUUGAUGGAAUUUUAACCAUGUUUUGCUACAAAUGGAAUCUCAGUUAAAGGAGUAAUUAGUACUUCUGUCUGUUGAAAAUAAUAUUUUAAAUAGCUGUAGUUAAUCCUAAGAAUUGGAGAAUACUCCUUCAUGUAUUAACGUGUUAUUUUAUAUGUUUAUAUAUAUAUAUAUGUUAUAUAUACCUAUUUUAUAUGUUAUACAUAUUAUAUAUGUUAUAAUAGCUAAAAUCACAUUAUUCUCCAAUAAUCCCUGCUUGGUGGGAUGGCAUUCAAGCUCUGAGUGGUGCUGACACCUCUUACACCUCUAAGAAUGGAAAACAAAGCAGUCACUUGAGCUCUUUAUUUAUCAGCCAGUAUCUCACUGCAUGUAAUUUGUCUGGUUUUUUAGCAAAGGAAGUAGGACUGCACUCUACCUGAAAAGCUGAUGUCCUAAAUGACUGAUGUAGAAGCAGGUAAGCAUAAAAGAAUACUGGAUACAGGACCCCAAACCUCCAGUAGACCAAGAGAAAGAAGUUUAAACCCUUGCAAAUACUGGGCCAAAUACAGCCAUAUCACAGGCUAAGUCAAGUCUACACAUGCCAUUGGACACAGCUAAGAAGAAAAUGAGCUUCAGCCACUGUGCCUUUCCUCCGUUCUCUGAAAGGGCAGAGGUUCUGGCAGACAGAACUUUUAGCAGAUUCAAGAGGGCGAAUUUGACAACAAUUCACAGUGAGUAGAUGCACAUUAAAGCAAAGGAAAUUUGUUUGCUUCAAGUAAAGAGUGGACAGUUUCACUGCUAGUGCUGAGGACAAGUUGUAUUCAGAAAACAGCCUCGUUUCCUUUGCCUUGUGUCUUGUGCAGAGGCUUCUUGCUGUACAUGGACUGUGAAGUUUAUGGCUAUGGGGAUUUUAGAACUAGAAGCAUCUCUGACAACCCAGUUGCAUUGUUUUUUUCUCUAUUUUAACAGCAGAUCUUUUUCAGUAGGCGGUGUGAAAAGAAUUGUUUUCAAUUAUUCUUGGCUACAUUUUUUCCCACAGAUUCUGACUUAAUUAGACUCAUUAACAAGACCAAGCAACAUAUUGUCUGUGGGAAAAGAUUUCAGAUGAGAGAAGACUGUUAUACCAUUUUAUUCAAAUCCUUCUGCCAGGAAAAAGCAACUUGACCAAAACAGGGAGGCUUCCAAGAAGUGGCUGCAUUGCUCCUGAAGCUGUUUUUGGAGAGAACAGGGUUUAUUUUUGCCAAAAAAAUGUAACUGUUUUUGUUGAAAAUAUCUGCUUUGCUUUCUAAAAUGUACUUUGUCCACAAAUAUUGCUAUCGGUAGGUCAACUCACAGUGAUCCCACUAGGAAAGACAGAUGCUUCAAGAUUAAUUCUUCAGAUGUAUUUUUUUGCUUAGUGGGGACCCAUAUGGAUGUAGAGACAGUGCACUGGGCGGUAUCCUUUCCUCAGCGCCUGUGCCUGCUAUGGGAGGCCACCCAGCUCUGUCACAGUGGGGAGAAGACAGAAAAGCAAAAAGAACAGAGGAGAGGAAAAAGGAUAGAUAUAGAAAAUUAAUGCUCGGGAGAGGGAUUGCUAGUUCUUUAGGGGAUUUCCAGCACACAGUCUAUGGAAAAUUUUUAUCCACAUCCAAACUGGUCAGAAAUUUCUUUCAGGAACUGCCAUCACUAACCCUGAGGCAGCUGGCAGCUGCAGCACUCUUCAGGCUGCACCAGAGAUAAGGAACCCAAACUACACAUGGACCCUUAAGUGGAGGAAGGAGGGACUUGCAGAGGGCUCCCAGACAGCAGAAUACAGAGGACAGUAGCAAACUUCAUGUACCAAUGGGCAGUGACUGUUGGUGCCCAUCCAGUUCUUUGGAUGUAUUAUACAUGGAACUGCUGUUAACAUAUAAGCAGCCACUGCUAAAUUAUAACCUUAAAGACGAUGGGAUUUCACCAGUGUCAGCAUCUGUUGUUCAUAAAGGAAUUGGGAAAUGGCCCAGCGUCACAUCCAGCUCUGAUCAUGAACAAAUACACUUUGACUUGGACAUGACCUGAUAUUCAAACUAGCAGUAGAUGGAAAAGAAGACAAACAGUUUUUUCAUGAGUUUCAAACACACCUUAAGCAGCUCCGGGACCUUCCAUCAAGAUAACUUGAUAAACCUUGUACGUUUACCUACCUUGACAGUUGUUCAGAUGUCAUGCUAUUUUGGUUUUAGAUUAUUUAAACUAAUGCCUGCUGUCCCACAAGAUACAGGUGAUUGCAAAGGCAGAAAGGUCACCUAAUGAAGCCUGAACUGACCUAGGAAUAUGGGCUUGGCUCCAUUCCCUGCAGUAAAACUUCAGUGCAGAAGAUCAAAUGUGAGAUUCACCUACCUCUGAGCACAGACGUGUUCCAGGACAAAGUUUGGCAUGCAGGCCCUUCUACUCAGGCAGAACAGUACACGACAAAUGUAUCACUGCACAGUGACAGCAGCAUGCCACAAGGUCAGAGCCACAAGCAGCAUGCCACAAGGUCAGAGCCUGGGUCAUAAUUCACCCUAUUAUAUCUGUUUAAUCCAUUCCUUAUUCAUUUUACUACAUGUAUUUCCUACUGAUUAUAUACCUUGUCAUGCAUCUCCAACUGACUUUUAAUCUCCAUGAUUUAAUCUUCAUUAUGGAGUCACCGGGUAUGACCAAGUUUUACUUAUUAGCAAAAACAUUAUGUAUUUUUUGAUGUUCUAAUUGGAAUAUUUCCAAUCUGAAUAUCCUCACUGUGCUCUCUCUCAGGUGUCUGUGUCACCUCCAGUACUCUCAUGGACUGCACACAUUCUGCUCAUUAAUCUACAUACCAUCACUUCUGGUGCAAAGCAAUCAUACUUAGGCUUUCUGAAAGCAGUAUAACAAUAUUUCAGCCUAUAAGCCAAUCCAGGUACUCAGACAGAAAAUACAUCUAGUCAGUUGUGUUUACAUAAAGACAUUUAUAGGGUAUGUUAUCACAAUAGUCUAUUACUUAGUAGAGCUGGUUGCAAAGUAAAAGAAAUACUACUUAUUACUGUAGUUUAGACUCUAGAAGCCUUCUUUUAAUGGUUACAUAAUACCAAAAGCUCGCCCUUGGAUCUCCUGCUUGCUAGAAAACCUGAUUUCUUGUAUUUUUUUAAUCAGAGAACAAGGAGUUGUCUCAAACGAAAAAGAAACCAAAACAAAAAAAUAUUUUCAUUUAAAAAUUACUUUUUUUCCAUUUGUUCAAGUAAAUAUUAACUGCAGCAGAUAUCCACAGCCCUCUUGAAAAGGUAAAACUUCCUAAGGCUUCUAGAAAUGCACAGCUAGACAGAGAAAGUGAGCUAACAGCCUCAUUGUUAUUAAUAAAAUAAGCCUGGUGAUACAUAGCAGUAUCAUUUGGUCACCAUGGCCCCCUCUAGCCCUACCCAAAGCUGAAACAGAAAGAAUAUCCCACCUGUGUUACAUUAACCUAGUUUCCAAUUAAAAGAUUGAAAUAUUGUAGGUUUUUCAUGUCUGUGAUUUUAUCUGUAGCAAAUAAAUGAUCCAAGUGCAAGGACAAAGAGAUUUAAAGGAAGGUUAUUUACUCAAAGAGCUCUCCAAUUUCCUGAUGGUAGAAUUCACUGGGAAAAAAAAACAACACAACUUACACCUGAGGAACUGUAGCUGAAAUUGCAGAUAGCCACUAGAGAGAGAGAGAAAAAAAAGGCUUCUUUAAAAACCAGUAACACCGCUAUUAUUGCAAUUCUGACUGUCAAGAAGUAAUUGCAAAUUGUUCUUGUGCCUGGACCUCCACUUGCAGAUCACAGACUGACUAUAAUAAGAAAUUAUCCCUUAAAAAGAAGGAGCCCCAGAGGAGUAGCAAAGACCAGCAUAAAAUAGGCCACAAAAAUCCUAACCAUUGAAUUUGAAGCACUAACAUACAAAAAAGAAAUGCAAAAUCACUUAGAUAUAACUUGGCCAAAACCUGCAGCAGGGAGAGCAGCCAGAAGACAUUUGAAGGAUGCGUUUGCAUGGGAAAUUCUUACGGCUGAAGUACACAGAAAAGAACUAUUAAGGGGUGGGUAAGUAGGACUGAUGAAAUCAAAGGAAAAUGAAAGAAAAUGAUUUGACAGCAAUUGCGUGCUGUAUGGUUGCUGUGCUGUAUUUUCCCACGGGAAACAGUCAAAUGUGUUUCACUGGAAACAUUAAAAAACAACGCAGCCUGGACAGAAGCACAGAGAGAGUGCAGUAGUCAGAGAUGGGACUGGAGAGCAUUUCCACUCCUGAAUUACCUAUUUCCUGGCUGCCGUUUUAUUGUGAUUCAUUGUUUUUCCUUCUGGAACCAAUAACCUCCCACACAACAACCCCAAUCAAUAGUGAACAUUUGCCAUGCACAAACACGUGUUUAGAGGAUUGACCCCAACUUACCUACUGGUUGGUGUCAUUCAACACUGACGUUUAUGUGCAGAGUCUUGCCUCUGCAAAGAACCAGCAUCUCACUUUAUACAAAUGCAUACAGCCUAGGAAAUAAGUAGGAUGAGUUGGAAACCAGGUCCACUUGGAAAGUUAUGACCUUGUUGCUAUUGUGGGAGUCUGGGAUGACUCUCAUAACUGGAAUACCACCACUGAGGGGCCUCGGCUCUUUAGAAGGGAUAGGCAAGGUAGGAAGGGUGGGGGAGUUGUCCUCUAUGUCAAAGAGUGGAUAGACUGUGAGGAGCUCCCUCUGAGAAACAGUCAGGAACAGGUUGAGAGCCUGUGGGUUAAAACUAGGGAUAGGACUCAUAAAGGCCAGCUGGUGAUAGGGAUAUAUAUACUACAGGCCACCUGAUCAAGGGGAGACUGUUGACAAGGCCUUCUUGCUUCAGAUGCAGGAGACAUUGUGCUCACAGACUCUCGUCCUGGUGAGGGACUUCAACCAUCCAGAUAUCUGAUGGAGAGACCACACAGCGAGUUCCAAGAGGUCCAGGAGGCUCCUGGAAUCCAUUGAUGAUAACUUUCUGGUUCAGGUAUUGGACAGACCAACCAGCAGUGAAGUGUUGCUGGACCUGCUGCUCACCAAUGCAGAGAUGAUCAUUACAGGUGUUAAGGUGGGAGGCAGCCUGGGCUGCAGUGACCAUGCUGUGGCCGAGUUCAUGAUCUCGAGGAAUGCGGGCCUGGCAAACAGUGGGGUCAGGACCCUGAACUUCAGAAGAGCGAACUUUAAGCUGCUGAAGGAAUUUUUGGCCAAGAUCCCACUCUACUGGGUCCCUUCCAACUCAGGCCAUUCUGUGACUCUGUGAAAAAAAAUAAUAACUUUUUUUUUCUUUCCUCAAAGCAAGCUUCUACUUAAAAAAACUGCAUGCCCAGUUAUGUAAAAGUGAGAGAAAGUCUCAGUGCCCUACAGAUACCAUGUUGAGAACUGUUGAGUCAUGGCCUGAACCACUGAUUGAGCACCUGGGGAAAGGACCUGGUCAGCCCUGGGAGCACAGGUGAAGGCAAUUCAGCUGUGCGACCAGAAGGGGUGGAGCCUGGCUGCACCUCUCUUAGACCUCAUUUAAGGGCUGACUGCCACUGGGGAAGGAUCUCUGGUUGGAGAUGCCUCCCUUGUGGUGUUUUCCCAGUGAGCCUGGAUCAUCAGAGAUGGGUACACCCGUACAUGUGAUGCAACAUUUGGUCUAACAGUGGUUGACCCAGGGAAAGAAUAAGACCAAAGCCCUACUUGACAAGUGGUGUCCUGGCACGGAGGUCUCAGGAACCUCUGCUCUGAGCCUCAAGCUGGAUGGCCUCUCGCGAUCCUCUCUCCCUCUGAGCUUGGAGAAAGAGACGUGGAACAGAAUCUCCUGCUGUUUUGGUCUUAUAACGAGAUGGGAAGCAGAUCCUGCUUAACAUCAGAAACAAUAUUUAGUGACUUCUACAAAUGUACCUGAUAUAUACACACUAAUGCUUCAUAGGAGUGAUUUCAGGUGACCACAGCAACCUUUUGUUCAGCUGAUAGUUUAAGUAAUGUUUUUGCUUAAUUGCUGUUUUGCUUAAGACCUUAAUUCUUGCAAGAAACAACUUUGUGCUGCACCAUUCCCACGUGGAUGGAGAAAUGCAUGAAUUUUUCUUAACAUGACUUGACAGUGAAUUUAUUUCAUUGUGUCUGUUUUGACCUGAGCAACUAUUUUUAUUUCCUGUCCAUCUGAGUUACUACUUGAUUUGCUGAAAGCUAAGGAACCAGAGCUGUGAGAUUAAGAUUUCAAAAAUACAUGCUUUUGGAGAAGUUAUUUGGCUGAAACAAAUGCCCUGUGUUGGUCUGUCAGAGCCACGUGUCCUGUCCCUCUGAGCUAAGCUGUAUCGGAAGGCAAGACAGUCACUGCUGAAUGCCGCUUCAUUGAAAGUACAAGUAUUUUAAAAGUAUCCAAGUACUUCAAAUGGAAUUUCUAAUGCUCAAUACUUUGAGUUAAUAAAAAAAACUUCUAAAAA